rnacentral:rRNA from 1 species
GACGAACGCUGGCGGCGUGCUUAACACAUGCAAGUCGAACGGAAAGGCCCUGCUUUUGUGGGGUGCUCGAGUGGCGAACGGGUGAGUAACACGUGAGUAACCUGCCCUUGACUUUGGGAUAACUUCAGGAAACUGGGGCUAAUACCGGAUAGGAGCUCCUGCUGCAUGGUGGGGGUUGGAAAGUUUCGGCGGUUGGGGAUGGACUCGCGGCUUAUCAGCUUGUUGGUGGGGUAGUGGCUUACGAAGGCUUUGACGGGUAGCCGGCCUGAGAGGGUGACCGGCCACAGUGGGACUGAGAUACGGCACAGACUCCUACGGGAGGCAGCAGUGGGGAAUAUUGCACAAUGGGCGGAAGCCUGAUGCAGCAACGCCGCGUGCGGGAUGACGGCCUUCGGGUUGUAAACCGCUUUCGCCUGUGACGAAGCGUGAGUGACGGUAAUGGGUAAAGAAGCACCGGCUAACUCCGUG